AUUAAGUCCACAGUGAAAUUUAGAGGUCGAAGUGUUUGAAAAUUUCUGAACCAUUUUGUCACUGCCUGCAGACUCAGAGCACUAUACCAGUACUUUUUCAAGUCAAGACUUUUUAUCCAAGCCAGGACUCUCUUGCAAACUGCAAUGAACUAUCACUACAUUUUAAACAACACCUUACACAGCCAGUACUCAGCUGUAUCUUCACACUUCAGCUCUCCAAACACUGAAUGCAAGCAGCUGAGAGACACUUGGUAACAGGUUAAAUUUAAUGAAUUCCCCAUACACUGGAUCAUAUUCUCAGCCUGGUGUAUGUGACAGUGCCCGUGCUGUAGUCUGUUCCCACCCCGGAGCUGUGAGCUGGCAGCUUAAGGGCAGUGAGCUGCAAUGAUGUAUCUAGCACAGAGACAGGGAAACUUAACACAGCCUUGCCCCACCUCUGCAAGCCUGUGGAAGUUUGUCAUACAUUUUCACUAGUGGCAAAACCAGUCGAGGAGGUUCUCAUCUCCUUCACUUCGCCACUCCCUCAUUAAUUUCUCCUUCCACCACCCCCACAGCUGCUAACCCAACCAUCUGUAAGGCUGCCACUUAAACCAUCGCAACAGAGUGAAGCAGCCCAUUGCUCUUUAACACUUUUAAUCCAGGUCCUCUCUCUGACGGAGUUCACAACCCAACCCAACAAUCAGCUAUGCUGGCAAAACUGAAGGCAAGGAGCUGCAGCAUUCAUGAGUAAGGAACAAAUGGCUUGAGCAAACUUCACUGCAGAAUGAAAACUUAGAAAUAAUCCCAGGCCACCACGUGAGAAGGAACUGAACCAACCCUUUAUGUGUAAGAGCCGAGCCUGCUCCCUUCAGUCUCUUCAGAGCUCAGUUUCAAGCUGAUUUAUUUUUGUCUCCUAUCCCCAUAGGGCUCAGGUCCAUUAGGCCUCCCCUCAUUACUCCUGCACAGCCCCAGCUGCACAGAGAAGAUUUAAGAUAGGAGACAGAAAACUGAAUUGGAGGAGGGAGCCUUGGCAACAGAAGGAAACUCGAGCGUUGGGAGCUCUGCAGAGCAUCCUCUCACAGGCACGGAGCUGUGUGCCUGCUUUCAGGGAGCUGGAGACCCCUGCAGAGAUACCUGCAACUGAAGACAGGCAGCACGUCAAGUGCUGUGAAUCCUGGCUGCGUCCUGCAGCAGAGUAAUGUCAUCAUAAUCUAAGGCACCACGCAGUAAAGCCAGCAGUUUUGCCACGUGGCCGUGAUGUGCCUCAACCCUGCCUAUUUGAGACAAGAAACUAAGGUCGCAGACGAUUUUUGCAUUAUAUUUGAACUAACGUUUUAUUACUAGCUCUAAAAAUCUGACAGCAAUGUACCACUUUAGAGAAGUGAUUCGUUUCAGCUGAGAAUGUUCUUACAAAAGACUCCGCAGGAGAAAAGAAACGAAAAGCAUCCACAUAGACGUACCCCACAAGUCCAGUUCCUUGUAAUUCCUUAUUUGAACAUCCAAGCAGCGCCUCCUUCUCCAAGUUAAUUUAUGGACAAACCUUAGCAUUUACGUGAACAACAGCUGAACGUCUCUGCUAAAUGCCAUACCCCAUAUAACUCACACAGGGGAACAAAGCUUCUAUCUCCGCACCAGUUGAACAAAGGGUUCUGUAGGGUUGGGGGAAUGAUCUGUAAUAUUCACAUGCAGACGAUGCCUGGGCUCUCUUCUCCAGCUGUAGGCCAUAAGUCUUAGCCAUGGCAAGAGGAUUUGGAGAUUUAUUGUGUAAGAAUUCAAAAACGUUCUGUGAAACUACUGAAUAAACUCAGGGGAAGGGAGGGACGACACCAUACGUAAAAUGAACAUGGCAUGUUUGUGCCCAGCAAGAGCAGGGCAAACUCCUGACUGAUCAACUACUUGGAUAAACAAUGUCAGGUGAGACAGUGCACGUGUAAAUACCAAAAGGCUGACUGUGAUCCAAGGGAAUAACCACAUCCUUUGCCGUGUGGAAGGGCUCUAAUCCUGGAGCAUGGAAGGGCACGAGCACGUGAUGAGCACAUGUGGUGCUGUAGGCACAGACAAAUGAAUUAAAUCUGAGGGAGGAGAGUGGAAAAAAUUCCAAUAUUGG